rnacentral:tRNA from 1 species
AAAGGGAGACCUAAUUCGGGUAGGAGACGAAAAAAAAGUAGUCCCUACCAAGAAUCAAUCCCAAAAGGUCGGAGCGAGGCGAAAUUGGCUUUCAAACUAGGUUCUGGGUUCACACAAGACCUGAAUCAGGAACAAGGGCUAUUAGCUCAGGUGGUUAGAGCGCACCCCUGAUAAGGGUGAGGUCCCUGGUUCGAGUCCAGGAUGGCCCACCUGCACAGGUGGCAAAAACAAAAAAGCUCCGAAUCAGCACCUUAUCUUACUUAUAUAGUAAGAGUGAAUGCUGGCUCUGAGUAAAGAGUCCAGAGGAACCUUGAAAACUGCAUAGAGCUAGGUGAAAAAGCCAAAAAAGAAGACCGCAAG